rnacentral:rRNA from 1 species
AUUGAACGCUGGCGGCAUGCCUUACACAUGCAAGUCGAACGGUAACAGGUCUUCGGAUGCUGACGAGUGGCGAACGGGUGAGUAAUACAUCGGAACGUGCCCAGACGUGGGGGAUAACGAGGCGAAAGCUUUGCUAAUACCGCAUACGAUCUAAGGAUGAAAGCCGGGGACCGCAAGGCCUUGCGCGUUUGGAGCGGCCGAUGGCAGAUUAGGUAGUUGGUGGGAUAAAAGCUUACCAAGCCGACGAUCUGUAGCUGGUCUGAGAGGACGACCAGCCACACUGGGACUGAGACACGGCCCAGACUCCUACGGGAGGCAGCAGUGGGGAAUUUUGGACAAUGGGCGAAAGCCUGAUCCAGCAAUGCCGCGUGCAGGAUGAAGGCCUUCGGGUUGUAAACUGCUUUUGUACGGAACGAAAAGGCUCUGGCUAAUACCUGGGGCACAUGACGGUACCGUAAGAAUAAGCACCGGCUAACUACGUG